ACUGCUCAGUAACACGUGGAUAACCUGCCCUUGGGUCCGGCAUAACCCCGGGAAACUGGGGAUAAUUCCGGAUAACGCACAUAUGCUGGAAUGCUUUAUGCGUAAAAUGGAUUCGUCUGCCCAAGGAUGGGUCUGCGGCCUAUCAGGUAGUAGUGGGUGUAAUGUACCUACUAGCCAACAACGGGUACGGGUUGUGAGAGCAAGAGCCCGGAGAUGGAUUCUGAGACAUGAAUCCAGGCCCUACGGGGCGCAGCAGGCGCGAAAACUUUACAAUGCGGGAAACCGUGAUAAGGGGACACCGAGUGCCAGCGUCAUACGCUGGCUGUCCAGGUGUGUAAAAUACACCUGUUAGCAAGGGCCGGGCAAGACCGGUGCCAGCCGCCGCGGUAACACCGGCGGCCCGAGUGGUGAUCGUGAUUAUUGGGUCUAAAGGGUCCGUAGCCGGUUUGGUCAGUCCUCCGGGAAAUCUGAUAGCUCAACUAUUAGGCUUUCGGGGGAUACUGCCAGGCUUGGAACCGGGAGAGGUAAGAGGUACUACAGGGGUAGGAGUGAAAUCUUGUAAUCCCUGUGGGACCACCUGUGGCGAAGGCGUCUUACCAGAACGGGUUCGACGGUGAGGGACGAAAGCUGGGGGCACGAACCGGAUUAGAUACCCGGGUAGUCCCAGCCGUAAACGAUGCUCGCUAGGUGUCAGGCAUGGCGCGACCGUGUCUGGUGCCGCAGGGAAGCCGUGAAGCGAGCCACCUGGGAAGUACGGCCGCAAGGCUGAAACUUAAAGGAAUUGGCGGGGGAGCAC
rnacentral:rRNA from 1 species